UACGUAGGGUGCGGGCGUGUCCGGAAUUACUGGGCGUAAAGAGCUCGUAGGUGGUUUGUCGCGUUGUUCGUGAAAUCUCACGGCUUAACUGUGAGCGUGCGGGCGAUACGGGCAGACUAGAGUACUGCAGGGGAGACUGGAAUUCCUGGUGUAGCGGUGGAAUGCGCAGAUAUCAGGAGGAACACCGGUGGCGAAGGCGGGUCUCUGGGCAGUAACUGACGCUGAGGAGCGAAAGCGUGGGGGAGCGAACAGG
rnacentral:rRNA from 1 species